UUGGACCCAAAAAGACCAAAAAAUUGCCAAAUCCCAUUCAUUCCUAUGAGAGACAUAAAACCCUGUAUCUCCCUUAAAUGCCACUCCAGGGGGAUCAUUUUUCGCUCAACUAGUAGGUCCCCUUGCUCUCCAACUUACCAGGGUGGUGUUUUUUUGUGGUGAUGUUUUAUUUUAGAGAGAUAUUAAAAGUUAAAUUGACCAAUGAGCAUCAGAAGAUGGUUUGAUUGACAGUUGGGAUUCUUUUCAGUCAGGCGCACGCUGAGCAAGAGGGCCGUCGUCAUGACUACUACUUGGCUGUGCGUGCCUGGGCUGGGACUGGGAAAUCUUGUCUAUCUGUGUGUUGCUCCUGAUAUUAUACUUUCAUAAACUUUGAACAUCAACUCGAUCGAUUGAUCUACUGUUGCCAUUGUUUGGCCAUCUCCUUGUGAAGUCGGGUGUACUUAUCGGUACUCUGAGCUGGAGCGCUGAUGUUUAGAUGCGAUGUCCCAACAAGAAUCUGUCAGUAGGCUACCACAUUACACCUCAGCAGGCACACCAGAGAAGGACCACUCCUGGAUAAGGAUUUGAGCCACUGCCAUGACUGCCAUCUCUACACUAUAUUACACACGCCAGCAGAUGUGGGAGGUGGUGAUCAACGUGACCCGUCAGCAGGUGGAGGACUUCCACGGCCCCGCAGACUACUGAUUACUGUGUGUGGCCUAGAGCCACCUGAGGACCUCCAAGAGCUGGCAAGGACACCAUCCGCGUCGCCCGGAAGUUUCAUCUGUCUUUCACAGCUUUUUGUCCAUAACAUCAUAUUACAAUUAGCUACA